rnacentral:rRNA from 1 species
CGAGUCGAACGAUGAAGUGGAGCUUGCUCCACGGAUUAGUGGCGAACGGGUGAGGAACACGUGAGAACCUACCUUCAGAAUGGGGAUAACAGUUGGAAACGACUGCUAAUACCUGAUGUGCCGAGAGGUGAAAGAUUUAUCGUCUGAAGAAGGGCUCGCGGCUGAUUAGCUAGUUGGUAGGGUAAAGGCUUACCAAGGCAACGAUCAGUAACUGGUCUGAGAGGAUGAGCAGUCACACUGGAACUGAGAAACGGUCCAGACUCC